UACGUAGGGUGCGAGCGUUGUCCGGAAUUAUUGGGCGUAAAGAGCUCGUAGGCGGUUUGUUGCGUCGGCCGUGAAAACUUCACGCUUAACGUGGAGCUUGCGGUCGAUACGGGCAGACUUGAGUUCGGUAGGGGAGACUGGAAUUCCUGGUGUAGCGGUGAAAUGCGCAGAUAUCAGGAGGAACACCAGUGGCGAAGGCGACACGCUGGGCCGUACCUGACGCUAAAGCGCGACAGCAUGGGGAGCAAACGGGG
rnacentral:rRNA from 1 species